rnacentral:rRNA from 1 species
CACGUAGGGCGCAAGCGUUGUCCGGAAUUAUUGGGCGUAAAGAGCUCGUAGGUGGCCUGUCGCGUCGGUUGUGAAAACUCGGGGCUCAACUCCGAGCUUGCAGUCGAUACGGGCAGGCUAGAGUUCGGCAGGGGAGACUGGAAUUCCUGGUGUAGCGGUGAAAUGCGCAGAUAUCAGGAGGAACACCGGUGGCGAAGGCGGGUCUCUGGGCCGAUACUGACACUGAGGAGCGAAAGCGUGGGGAGCGAACAGG